rnacentral:rRNA from 1 species
UACGAAGGGGGCGAGCGUUGUUCGGAUUUACUGGGCGUAAAGGGCGCGCAGGCGGCAGACCAAGUCAGGCGUGAAAGCCCCGGGCUUAACCUGGGAGGUGCGUCUGGGACUGGUAUGCUAGAGUUCGGGAGAGGAGAGUGGAAUUCCCAGUGUAGAGGUGAAAUUCGUAGAUAUUGGGAAGAACACCGGUGGCGAAGGCGGCUCUCUGGACCGAGACUGACGCUGAGGCGCGAAAGCCAGGGGAGCGAACGGG